UUUCCCAAGUUCAAUUAAUACAAUAUUAUAAACAUACAAAUGUAAUAAAAAUUAUUGUUCGCGAAUAUUCAAUUUGGAAUGCGAUUUUGUUAAUAAAAAAAAUACUUAUAACUUAUGCAAAACCCAAGAGAGGCAUUUAUAUUUAUUUCUUUUGCGUUCAUUUUCAAAUUCGCCGUGCAUAUAUUUUUGUGCAUGGCGCUUGAGAGGGCAUCACGUGACUAAAAACGACCAACCAACGACCUCGCUUCGGCCAUCUUGGCAUCUUCAUCUUGGCCACCUUGCUUUGCCGUGGGUGGAUCGUUGUUUCUAUUAUUUGUGCUUUUUAAGAAUAUUUUUUUAAUUCGGAUACUUUUAUAAUAGCUUUAAUAGUAUUAUUAACAUAGUGAAUAAAAUGGUGUCCUGUUUUUAACGCAGUUGGAGUAGCAGAAACAAAUGUAGAUAAAAAAAUCUGCAGGAAUAACGUUUCAAUUAUGACAGAAGCUCCAAACAAAUGACUGUGAAUGAAAAGCCCUAUUAAAAGCUUUCCAGAAGAUCCUGCGAAGAAGACAUGAAGUAUAGAUCAGAUUUGUUAAUAGAGGAGUAUGUUCAAAACACUUUUUAGAAAAAGAUAUUGACAGAACUUCACUUUCAUCUGUUCGUUUAAGAGACUGUGCUGUUCCAAUAGCUUAUGUCACACAGAAUCAGCUGAGAGAAGUGGUCUACAAAAAACCAGAAAGGAAACAGAAUAUGUGGCUACGAAAAGCAAAAGAAAGGUUUACAAAGCAAAUGUGACACAUUUUUUUAUAAUAUUUAGGAAUGUCAGUAAAUUACAUUAAAAAAUGUAUGUAAAGAUUUUUUGCAAUAAAAAUGUUUAUAUUUA